UUUUCCUCCUGUGACACCAUCACCUUCCCAGCUACAAGCAAGGGCAAUAAACUGGGGGCCCACUGGGGCAGAUGUCUUAAUGGAGAGAGCAGAGAUGAAGAGAAAAUCCCUCAGCAGGUUGAGAGUGACUUCUGCAGGCUCAGGGCACAAAGCGAGAACUCUUUGCACAGAAUUUCGAUCAUCCUUGCUACUUAAGACCCCCAAAAUGGUGGAACCCAGGGGUACAGAGAGCUAAGGAAGGAAAACUCCAUACUUGAGAUGCCUUCUUGAGCCAGCAGGUGGCAGUAGUGGUGGUGGAGGCAACAGUUAGAUGAACUGACUGGUCCUGACCACACAGUGUCAAAAUAGAGAAUGGAGAGCAGGUCUGCUGUUUACCAAAGAAGCCUGAAACAUGGCCCACGUGUCCAAUCCUUGCUUGGAGGAGGAGCCGGGAGGAGACCCUUGAUGAACUGCUCUCAGAUUGUUGGUCUAUGAAGGAGGUUAAUACAUGUCAGUUUGACAUUGUAUCAUUGAAUCAGAAUUGAACAUCAGAAAGAGUAAAAUUCCCAGGCCUUUGUUACCCUAGCCUGGGUACAAGCUCAAGAUGAUGCAAAAGGAGGAGCAAAGCAUGGGAUCCAAGAAAGUUAAGUUCCAGCUCAGGUCGAAGAGAAUCAUGUCUGUGAUCUGUGUCUUUGGUUUCUUCAUCUACAGCUGUCAUCUUGUGGGCUGGAGCAUGGUGGCCAGGAAGUGUGCAAGGGGCUCUGUUGUCCAUGCAGCCCUCAUAGACCUGCGGAGGUAUGAUUGCUCUAAGCCCCCAGUGGGGUUCCAGUUUGAUAGCUGCCCUGGAUGGAGAUGUGGGAGUGAGAGAAAGGGAUAUGGAGGCAGGUCUAAUUUACUCAGCAGCACCUCAGGUCUUUGGGACUUCCUGGUGUCUGAGAGGAGACAAGCAGAAUGGACUUGCUGAGCUCCUCAUCUCCAGGAAACAGUUCUUCUAUAAGGAUUCCUGGGCUGGGUGUUUAGCAUCUUUCAUAUGCCCCCAC